rnacentral:rRNA from 1 species
CCGCUGAACUUAAGCAUAUCAAUAAGCGGAGGAAAAGAAACCAACAGGGAUUGCCCCAGUAACGGCGAGUGAAGCGGCAACAGCUCAAAUUUGAAAUCUGGCCCCCCCCCGGGGGGCCCGAGUUGUAAUUUGCAGAGGAUGCUUUGGGCGAGGCGCCUUCCGAGUUCCCUGGAACGGGACGCCACAGAGGGUGAGAGCCCCGUCUGGUCGGACGCCGAGCCUCUGUAAAGCUCCUUCGACGAGUCGAGUAGUUUGGGAAUGCUGCUCAAAAUGGGAGGUAUAUGUCUUCUAAAGCUAAAUACCGGCCAGAGACCGAUAGCGCACAAGUAGAGUGAUCGAAAGAUGAAAAGCACCUUGAAAAGGGGGUUAAACAGUACGUGAAAUUGUUGAAAGGGAAGCGCUCGUGACCAGACUUGGGGCGGGCGGAUCAGCCGGCGUUCUCGCCGGCGCACUCCGCCCGUCCCAGGCCAGCAUCAGUUCGCGCCGGGGGACAAAGGCGGCGGGAACGUGGCUCCCCAGGGAGUGUUAUAGCCCGCCGCGCCAUGCCCCGGGGGCGGACUGAGGGCCGCGCAUCACUGCAAGGAUGCUGGCGUAAUGGUCACCAGCGACCCGUCUUGAAACACGGGCCAAGGAGUCGUCCUCGUAUGCGAGUGUUCGGGUGUCAAACCCCUACGCGGAAUGAAAGUGAACGUGGGUGAGAGCUUCGGCGCAUCAUCGACCGAUCCUGAUGUUCUCGGAUGGAUUUGAGUAGGAGCAUACGGGGCCGGACCCGAAAGAAGGUGAACUAUGCCUGUGUAGGGUGAAGCCAGAGGAAACUCUGGUGGAGGCUCGCAGCGGUUCUGACGUGCAAAUCGAUCGUCAA